rnacentral:rRNA from 1 species
AGAGUUUGAUCCUGGCUCAGAUUGAACGCUGGCGGCAGGCCUAACACAUGCAAGUCGAGCGGGGUUUUCGGACCUAGCGGCGGACGGGUGAGUAAUGCGUAGGAAGCUGCCCGAUAGAGGGGGAUACCAGUUGGAAACGACUGUUAAUACCGCAUAAUGUCUACGGACCAAAGUGUGGGACCUUCGGGCCACAUGCUAUCGGAUGCGCCUACGUGGGAUUAGCUAGUUGGUGAGGUAAUGGCUCACCAAGGCGACGAUCUCUAGCUGGUUUGAGAGGAUGAUCAGCCACACUGGAACUGAGACACGGUCCAGACUCCUACGGGAGGCAGCAGUGGGGAAUAUUGGACAAUGGGCGCAAGCCUGAUCCAGCCAUGCCGCGUGUGUGAAGAAGGCCUUCGGGUUGUAAAGCACUUUCAGCGAGGAGGAAGGGUUAGUCGUUAAUAGCGGCUAAUUUUGACGUUACUCGCAGAAGAAGCACCGGCUAACUCUGUGCCAGCAGCCGCGGUAA